AGUGACAGAGAGAAGGAUGGGGUGACUAGUGACAGAGUGAGGAAGGGGGUGACUAGGGAGAGAGGGGGUGAUUAGUGACAGAGUUAGGGAGGGAGUAACUAGUGACAGAGAGAGGGAUGGGGUGACUAGUGACAGUCACCCCCCCCCCCACUCUGUCACCAGUCAUCCCCUCACUCUGUCACUAGUCACCCCUUCCCUCCCUCACUCUGCCACUAGUCACCCAUUCCCUCACUCUGUCACUAGUCUCCCCCUCUCCUUCCCUCUGUCACUAGUCACCCACUCCCUCACUCUGUCACCAGUCACCCCCACUCACUGUGUCUCCCCCUCACUCUGCCAC